rnacentral:lncRNA from 1 species
ACUGCCUUCUCUUCUGGAGUCUUCGGGGUCAUGAGGGCGCUCAUCAGUGGUAGGCUAGGCAGCUCUAUGUCAGGAGAGGAACUAGGAAGCGAAGGAUCUUGAGCUGGGUGCCUGCAAACUCAGGGAGGAAGCGGGUGCACAGAGGUGGGCACUGUUUUGCAGGCACAGAGGACACACUCAAGACUGCACCCACAGGGCAGUGGUCAGAGCCCAUCACCUCAGGCAGCAGGAAAGAGCGGUAGCUAUCGAUGAAGGGCCCUACAUGAGAGGCAGACUGGCACCCCAAGUUACUGAGCAAGCUGUCCAUCCACUUGCGCCCUGGGUCCUCUUCAAAGCAUUCCUAGGUGAGGAGGAAAGGGGGUUGGAAGAGAGAGAGACAGAACUAGAUACCUAGAACUGGAAGGGACUUAGACUAACUGCUGCAUUUUGCAAAUAAGAAAAUUUGGUUGUCCCAAGAGGACUACUGCUCAAGGUCACACAGUCCGGAAUUGGCAGAGCUGGGAUUCUGAUUUUCAUCCUUACUGAUUUAAAAGACCAUGCUUGUUUUUCCCUCUGCACGAGCUUGCAUUUGUCUUGCAUUGGUCCGUCAAUGGCAAAUCUGAAAGUUUGCUUACUCAAAGCAAUUCCUGGAACUGCUUUUCAAAAGGAUGGAAAACAGGAAGUUAAAAGUGUUUGCCUCUAGGAAGCAGGGCUGGGGUUAAGAGUUAGGAAGACUGUCAGCUUCUUCCUUUAAACCCUCUGGCACUAUUUGGUUUAUCUAGUGUGUCAAAGCCCUCAAUGACCAUUCCUACCUCCUGAGCUGAGGACCUGCAAGGAUCCAGGUCUGAAUACUUCCUUAGGCUCUGAUCCCCAAUCCAUCAUCCAUCAGUCCAUCCAUUCAAUCCACCUACCCACCCACUCAUUCAAUGCAAGAAAUGUUCAUGGAAUACCUAUUAUGUGCCAUGCAUGAUGCCAGGGACAAAGUAGGAACCUGAUCUACUCCUGGGGACCAAGGAGGCUUCCUUUCGAGAAGUGAUCUGGAGCUGAGGUGUGGGGGCUGAGUAAGAGUAACCUAGGUGGAGGGUGCUCCUAACUUUAAGAACAGUCUCUGUGCUGGGCCUGUGGAGGGAGUGUGCUGCGUACCCAAAAGACUUGAGGAAAGACCAGACUGGAGACCAGAAUACCAGCAGGAAAUGGCUGCCAUAGUCACACAAGCAAGAUGAUGGUCACUUGGACUAGGGUGGGUGCCAGAGGAGACAGAAACAUGAAAUUAUGAGAUGAUUUGUAGCUAGAAUCAACAGUACUUGCUGACUAACUGAAUGUGGGAAGUGGAGUAAGAAAGAAAGACAAUACUAGCACAAUUCCCAGGCUUUAAGUUGAAGCAAUCAAGGGGAUGAUGGUGCCAUUUACAGAAAUGACAAGACUAAAAGAGCAAGCCUGGUAGAAAGUGGGUAUGUUCUGCUAUUUUGGAAAGACUGUGUAAGUCAUCUGAGCUGGCACUAUUAGUUCUCUUUUCCUGGAGGAGAAAAUGAAAGAGGUAUACAUAAGAGAUCUAGGAUACCUCUGAACUAAGUAGAAAAGGCACAAAGAUGUAUGAUGCUAUCACAGGAAUCUGAAAGAACACACUGAAUGAAUGCAUAAGAGGAAUGAGGCAGGGAGGGACUGAAGGCUCACACUUUGUAGCAUUAUCUCCGCUCCCCACCACACCACCACCACCAUUCUCUCAUUCUCUCACUUCUGCUCAUUUUCCCAGCUGGGAGCCAUAUCUACAUUUAUGUAGCUCUUCUGUGAAUUAAUCAAGGAAUAUUCCCACGGUCCCUUCUCUAAGCCAAGCCCAGUGCUGAGUAGGACUGUACCAGCAUAAAUCACUGAUCCCCCAUCGUGAGACAUAAGGCAAGAAAAGAUGAGAGCUGGCUUGUGGAUUCUAGGGCAGUGGUUCUCAAGCCUGGCUGCACAAUAAAGUCACACUGGGGGCUUUUAGAACGUGCCACUACCCUGGCCCCACACUCGAGAGUUCUGAGUUCAUUGAUCUGGAGUAGUGCUAAGAUAUUGAUAUUUUUGUUCUAAUAUGCAGUUAGGGGCUGAAAACCAUGGGCCUAGGGGAACUUAGAGAUAAGAGGUUCAUAUAACAAAAAGACAGGGAGGGGGUCAUGUCCACCAAUUCAGGGCACAGUGAGAAAAGCCAGAAUGAGAAUAACUUUUACAACGGGCCGACAGGAGACAACCUGUCUAGAGAGGACAAAAUGUGUAGGGACACUGAAGGUGGAAAUAAGAGACAGGUCACAGACCAAGGAGAGCCUUGAAUGCUAGGUCUCCAUGUUUUCUCUGCAUCACAGAGGUAACAGGGAGGUACUGAAAGUUCAUAAACAAGAAAUACAGUGUAUUAAGGAAAUGACCAAGGCAAUGUGGAAUUCACAGUCCUUGAAAUCUGACCCCCAACAACUCUCCAGCCCCACCUUCUGCCACUCACCUCCCUUCCUGUGUCACUAAGAAGAAAGGGACUUGUGGUUCCCCAUGCACACAAUGCAAAUUCUCACCUUGAAACCUUUGCCCAUGCUAGAAUGCUUUCUACUUCAAAGCUCUGUUCUACUCAUCUGUUAAGAUUCAGCCAUUUUCAGCUGCCUGUCCUGAUGUCCGAGCUCACCUAGGAAUCCCAUCUCUGAGCUCCUGUAGCUUUCUGGGAUGCCAUCUGUGCCUCUGCCCUGAGAAUACCAUCCUAUAAUUGGCUAGCCAUGUGUCUGUAGCCCACCACCAUGCUGGAGAGCUCCUAGGAGCCAAGGGCUGGAUCUGACUCCUGAGUCCUCAGUAUGUGGCUCAGGGCCAGGCCAUGGGCAGAGUCAGUAUUGUCUAUUGAAUGAAUGACCAAUCCUCAGUACUAUAAGAAUAGUAUUGCAAGCCAAGCUCCGCUUUCCCAUAAAGGAAGCUGUCCCUGGGCCAAAAACUCAGGGUUGGUUGGCUGGACAAACAGAAUCAGUCAGGAGUGGGGCCAGGCACCUAGAGGGAGCCUUACCAGGUUGACUGCAUCCCAGUGGUCAAUGGGGCGGUGGGCUGUAUUCAGGUCACCCAGAAUGAUCACAUGGCUGAAAAACACAAUGUGGGAUUGUUAGAAAGGGGUGCAGCAGUCCUGGCCCAUAUACUUUUUCCUGGGCCCAAGAGCUCAGACAGGCCCUCUCCCAUAUUGAGGCUUCCUAGCCAACAGCAACUCAUAACAGCCUACCUCUCCAAUCUUACCACAAACUUGCUGCCUUUCAUAUCUGACCAACCCAAUUCUGAUCUCCAAAGGUGACAGUGUUCCAUGUUUGACAUGACUGCCUCACUAAUCAGGAGCCAAUGGGCAUUUUUCUUGUCCUUCAAAGCUGAGCUCAGAUACCACCUCCCCUUGAUUGCUCUAACCCACCCUCACUUUCCUGUCCUCCGCUGGAACAAGACUUUCCUUUGCUCCCACGCACUUUACCAUUCUCAUCUCAUUUUACCCUUAAAACUAUUGUGUAGGGUAGAGAUUCAUAUAUUCAUUUGACAAAAGAGAAAACAGAGGCAAGACUAGCCCUAGGGCUCACAAUGAGUAAGAGCAGGAGCCUGAAUAGGUGCUCAGAGUACAAAACCCAUGUUUGUUUUGAGCAGAGCCUAUUCAGGUGGGCAUAUUGGUGUUUGCAACUAUGCUGUGAAAGAACUCAGAGACAAAGGGUCCAUAUCCCUUUCAAUGGAGCUUGACACAGGGCUGGGCACCCAGGACCAACUCAAGGAAGCCUUACUGCCCAGGCUUGCAGUACCUGCCUGCCGCCAGGAGGGCUUCUGCUCGGAUUUGCAGCAAACGAUAGAAGCGCAUCUUAAAGACUAGCCGCUCAGGCCUCCCAGGGUCCGCAUGGGGGCAGUACACGUUGAUUAGGGUCAAGGUCUUCUCCUUACCUUCCCAUGUGCUGGAGAAAAGAGAAACCCCCAAAAGGGGUCAGUUUCAAACCUCCCCUUCUGUCCCUUCCCCAUACCACAUGGCUUCCAUUUUGUGACUGUCUGGGAUGGAAAAGAAAGGGGUUAAAGAGACACAAAUGAUCUGGCAUGCACAGGACUUGGGGACUGACUACUGAUAAGGCAGGGAGAGGGAUAUCUAAGGAUUACCACCAGGUAAUGGUGCUGCUAUUCACACAGAACACCCAGAAAGACAGCAACCUGGGGCACUGAGUUCAGCACUAAGUUGCUUUUGAGAUGUCUAUGGUAAUAAGAGCUGGAUCACUAGGCCAGCCCCACAUUGUAGAGAUGGAAACUCAAGCUUCAGAGGGGGGAAAAAUUUGCCAGGGUCACACACUGAGUAGCCCAGCCAGGACUAAACCAGGAAAGGCAAAUUUGGGAACUUCUCCACGGUGCAUGUAUGUUUACAUGGCAAGCCUUAGAAUCUUCACACUCAAAGAGUAGCACCAGCAGUGCUCAGUAGCAGGGAGAUAUGAGCUAUUACCGGAUCUUAUGCUGUGUGAGGAGGGCCCUGCCCUCACUAUCCAGAGCCCGGAGUUCCUCUUGGGUAAACUCAUCCAUGUUUCCAUAGCAACCAACAUCCCCAUUCUGGGUGGCAAACAGGCCACUCAGGCCUUCUUCAGCAGCCACUGGGGUAGCAUUGUCCUUACAGAAGGUGGCUACACCUGGGAACAGACAGGGCACUCUGAGCAGACCUGGCAGUCAAUAGCCUGUUGCACAGCCUGUCCCACUCCAAUUGUCCCCACACAAGUCAUCUAAGUCAUCUUCAUAAAGUGUGGUUCUUGGGCAACCUUAUUCAAACCCUGGAGUCUCAGUUCCUACAUCUAAAAAAGCCACAGAAUGUUCUAAGUGUUUUACAUUGAUACAUGGUGAGUGCUCAAGACGUAUUAGCAAUUAUUAUUAUCACAUGGAUUAAUUCAUUUAAUCCUUGUAACAGCCCCGGAAGGUAAACAUUAUCCUCAUUUUCUAGCUGAGGAACCUGAGGCACCAAGAGGUAAUGUAACUUGCCAGAGGGUGCACAGCUAGGAAAUGAGCCAUGAUUCAAACCCAGGCUGUCUGGCUCCACAGUUCACACAAUUAAGCACCACACUACUACUGUACUUCUGAGGUCCAGUAGGAUAAUUCUAUCCAUAAAAAUUAUAUUUCAUGUAAUUUACUAUUAUGCAGCUUUAGCUCUGUAAACUAAAUGUCUAAGAUUUCUUAUUACCCUCUCAUCAAAUAUUGGAAACCCUUUUCCCCUAUCUGCCUCCCUCACUAAUUUAAAGUCCACAGAAAGCCCCAUUUACCAGAAUAGCCGCUACGGUUGCGGCUGAAGCUGAAAUAGGAGUUAUAACCCUCAACGAUAGCCAGGGGCUCUGUCAGUGCAUCCCCUGGAAAAAAAAAAUGUAAGAUUAAGUCAGAGGUAAAACUAGCAUCCGAGAAACACAAAGGCCUGGAAUUACAGUUGUAGGCUAAUUCCUUGCACACAUCAGAGCCAGAGUUGGGGGUGACGGGAAUGAAAUAUCCAUGAUUAGAGGAGGACCUAGAAAGAUGGGAAAUGUCAGAGAGGAAAUUGAUAUCAGAAUUAGAAGGCUUGGUGGGGGGCGGUUAGAGACUAUGAAGUGGAGGUGGAGAAUUAGGUGGGAAGGGGAAAGAAUCAGAGCUAAGCCUGGGGGUCUGAACGAUAGGAGGAAGCUGGGGAUGGGGAUGGACAUACGAGAGGAUGGUGGGAAUCUGAGCUAAGGGUGAGAGGUAAGAGAGAGGGAAUUAGGGGAUCUGAACUGGGGGUGGAGGGAAAAGGAAUUAGGGGAUUCUGAGGGGAGAUAAGAGGGUGAAGAAAUAAGAGGACAUCUAAGCUUGGGGUGGGAAAUGAGGUGGGAAUUAGGGACUUUCCGCUGGGAGGAGAGAUGGGAAUAGAUAAGGGGUACUGGGGUUCUGAGGUGGAAAUGUGAAAAAGAGGAAAUUAGACUGAGCUGGGGUCAAAGAUGGGGUGGGAAUUAGAGGAUCUGAGCUUGGGGCAGGGAUGAAGAAUUCGGGGGUUUGACUUGGCGGCGGGGAGAUGGACAGCGUAUGGAAGGAGGAAAUUCAGGGGACUGAGUUUGGGGCCGGAGAAUGAGUGGGAAUCUGACUAGAUAUGGGGUUUCGAGAAGGAGCUAAAGUUUGCUGAAGACAGGAGAUGGAGUGCAAUUAGGGGAUCUAGCUAGGGUGGGAAAUGGAAGUUUAAGAGGGAAGGGACCUGGGUCUAAGGACAGGACUCUAAGAAUAGGAAACUGGGAAAGUAAAAUUACAUGGGACAGGGGACAAAAGUUAGCGGGAAAGAAAAAGUAUGUAGGGAUCCUGGAAUCCAGAGCGCUCACUGGUCACUUUGGUUUCCUGGAGACAGACGAUAUCCGCAUCCAGCUCGUCCAAAAUGCGCCCCAC